ACCAAUGUCGGACACCGGACGCAUUUUCACCUCGGUGACGAGGUAGUCUGCUCUGUCCGUCCUAUAGGUUGGAAAGAAACAAUGUCGAAAGUUGCGGUCGGCGCGGACAUCGGGGAGACUGGCGGAGGAAGUGAGGUGGCUCCGCUUGCAUGUCAGCUGCGCACGAAAACCUUCUCCAGCACCGAUGCCGGCCGCUGCGGUGCUGCUGUAGCAGCAUCGUAGCGGCCGGCAUAGGAAUUGGUCAAGGCGGCGACAAGGCCAGCGGCAAAGGUGGUGUCCACCAAUGACAACAAGCCUAUGGCCACGCCUCCUAGAACUCCUCCCAAUUAAUGGCAUCAGCAGCGAGUCGCGCGACGACGACCUGAAGAUCCAGCAGCUUCCGCUUACGCUCCUCUGUCCCUUCCAGCGAUAACCGACAAAGGCAAGUUGGGAAGACUGACCCACCUAAACGGCGACCACUUCUGCGUGCGGAUUCCGAGGAGCGACGUCCGCCACCACGACCGUGAAGCCUCGGAGGAGUGUGCCAAGUCUUGUCGGGAAGCUCCGCGGGAGGUCAAAUUCCGCAGGUUGACUGCAUGGGGCUUGUUUUCACCUUGUGUACACUAGAACGACUUCGAGGAAAUUUCGAACGUUCCAGAGGAAUGAGCACACUAAUCAGGUAAAGCUACCCAUUCUGAGCAUAGUAUGUCGGAACCGCGUCAUUGGUAUUCUGCAAGAUGCUUUGAAUACCCUUCGCGUAUGGUGGUACUCAAUGCCAGACAAGGCUUAUUUACGUUACAUGGUCCUCCACAUCGACGCCUCCUGACACCGUCGACCGGAAGUGUAGUACGGCUACUAUGACGCGACCAAUGUAAACCGAUGUGGACAUGAACUCGUCCAAAGCAAUCCUCUACCAGCCACCACCCAUCAGCUCUAUGUGGAGCUUCUUCAGUAAAUAUAAGCGGAGUAUGACGACCUUUGGAUGACUCACGUCACCUCCAGAGCAUAAGUGCAACUGCGAUCGCAACGAACUGAGCGCUAGGAUGAUUCACCUUCCUUAGAGGUGCAAAUACCUGGUCGUACUGGGUGGAGAAAAAUCCGCUGAAGGAAAUCCCAGUCAACGCUACGUACGGCUGUCACUGCUUGCAACGAGAUACUGCCAUAAACCACCUAUCUGCUAGGAACCUGCGCAAGACGCCGCCUCCCGCCCCAUCACCUUGCCUCCUCUACCUUUUUCUGAACCUGUGGAAGAUCUUCCAACAACCGUAGAAGAAAAGGCCAAACGAAAUGCUGACGCAAAAUUUAUUGAAGCCCAUGGUGAAGCCGCGCACCAAAUGCUAUUUCGAAAGCCACUAUAUCCUUCUAGGGCAUUUCGCGCACCAGCGAGUAGUGCCCGAGCAAAUACAUCAGCGAGAUCUGUCACCAGAUCAUGCAGCCGAACGGAUUGAUGCCGGCUUUCGAACUCUAAGCCCACAAGCGAGCCUUGGAAAAAAACCUCGCGGGGAUAGAGCUGUGAUUUCUAUAGAAGCUUGUGACACCAAGACAAUGAACUUUUGUCGACCACAACAGAUUUGUCUUGAACAGCUUCCACGCAUCUUCGCGAGUCGUGUAUAUGUCACCUGGACAUCGAUGCUACUGGCCGUCGGCGCCUGGUGCAUGCGUUGCAAGGACAUGUGGUAGAUCUUGCACGACGAGCGCUGUAAGCAGGUCACUGUUAUUAUGAUCACGGACUUGCUCACCAGAAGAACGAUGCUGAACAUAGGCAACUAGUUGUUACAAUAACUUUUUUGUGUACAACGCGCACAAUGCUUCAUGAACAACGACAGGAAGUUGUGCAAUGCGGCACUCGUGACUAUGCCUGGCAUGAAGCUCAACUCCACGCUACAAGACCCGCCGCAGGACAGGCCAGCCAUUUCCAAAAGGCUGGUGAUGAUUAUCGGUUCAAACAUGACUCUCUUGACGACGAUAGACAAGUUAAUAUCUUUGGCGUGUGGCCGCUCGCGUCGGGAGCUCCAGACUCGAAAGCUUCAAUAUCUACUCCUGCUUUCAAGUUGAAACAGAAGAAGCGGAGGCACAUGUAGCGACCAUUGGUCACAGCAAAAGGUGACUCGGGCGCUGCCCUGGAUCAAUUUUUAUGACCCCGGAAUGGCAUCUAUACUAACUGGAAGUGCUGCUACAUGGGAUUAUUCCUAAACGACGUUUCCAGCGGCUACGACGAUAGUUUCAGCUUGGCUUCGGGCACUAGUUUGAUAUGUGGCUACGACUGCGCUUGACUUUGGCGUCUUGCCUGAAAUAUGAGGGGCACCACAUCAAUGCAGUUAUCCUAUUCGCCGGAAAAAGGGUCGAUUGUCAAGUGCCUUUUUGUGGCACAGCUAGCACAGCUUCGCAAGCCACAUCUCCCUGUAUGGUACAGUGACCAGCAGGGGAUAGUGCCUCAGCGAGACCACCAGCCAGAUAAGGAGGGAGAUCACGCAGCUGAACGUCUUGGCACUGGCUUCCGUCAACUAAACUACCAGACAGGCUCGUGAUAUAAGUUCACAACAUUCAAGCUGUAUCUGUACGUGCUUGUUACUAGACUACACUUUUGUCGGCCUGAGCUGGUUCACCGUGGGCAGGUGCUUCGACAACCUUGUAAGGCGCUUUGUGACGACGUGACGUUGUGCAAGGCUACUCUUAAGAAUUUACUCUUCAGUUGAUCUAGCAUUCAGUUUGCAACUGUAUAAUUCACAUUGAAGUUCUCUGUCUUUUAAUGAAUGCGGAUCUUGGCGUAUUUGUUCUUGUAAAUGUUUCUGCUAGUUCCUGAUAAAUUUGGUUUUCUUAGUUCA